UCGGGAAUUUUGGGCAAUGGGCGAAAGCCUGACCCAGCAACGCCGCGUGAAGGAUGAAGUCUUUCGGGAUGUAAACUUCGUAAAAAUAGGAAGAAUAAAUGACGGUACUAUUUGUAAGGUCCGGCUAACUACGUGCCAGCAGCCGCGGUAAUACGUAGGGACCAAGCGUUGUUCGGAUUUACUGGGCGUAAAGGGCGCGUAGGCGGCGUGGUAAGUCACUUGUGAAAUCUCCGAGCUUAACUCGGAACGGUCAAGUGAUACUGCUGUGCUAGAGUACAGAAGGGGCAAUCGGAAUUCUUGGUGUAGCGGUGAAAUGCGUAGAUAUCAAGAGGAACACCUGAGGUGAAGACGGGUUGCUGGGCUGAUACUGACGCUGAGGCGCGAAAGCUAGGGUAGCAAACGGGAUUAGAUACCCCAGUAGUCCCUGAGCGGGCUGGCAAGGCGCAU
rnacentral:rRNA from 1 species